CAGCAGCCACGGUAAUACGGAGGGUGCAAGCGUUAAUCGGAAUUACUGGGCGUAAAGCGCACGCAGGCGGUCUGACAAGUCAGAUGUGAAAUCCCCGGGCUUAACCUGGGAACUGCAUUUGAAACUGUCAGGCUGGAGUCUUGUAGAGGGGGGUAGAAUUCCAGGUGUAGCGGUGAAAUGCGUAGAGAUCUGGAGGAAUACCGGUGGCGAAAGCGGCCCCCUGGACAAAGACUGACGCUCAGGUGCGAAAGCGUGGGGAGCAAACAGGAUUAGAUACCCCUGUAGUCCCUGUCUCUUAUAC
rnacentral:rRNA from 1 species